rnacentral:rRNA from 1 species
UACGAGGGGGGCAAAUGUUGUUCGGAAUUACUGGGCGUAAAGGGCGCGUAGGCGGCGCUGCAAGUCAGGCGUGAAAUUCCUGGGCUUAACCUGGGGGCUGCGCUUGAGACUGUGGUGCUAGAGGAUGGAAGAGGCUCGUGGAAUUCCCAGUGUAGAGGUGAAAUUCGUAGAUAUUGGGAAGAACACCGGUGGCGAAGGCGGCGAGCUGGUCCAUUACUGACGCUGAGGCGCGACAGCGUGGGGAGCAAACAGG